CCAGGAUGUACCUGGCUGGAGGAGGUCCCUGACUGCAUAGGGCUCCCUGUCCUAGAGGACUAAAGGAAGGACCUCCUGACAGUAUGAUUGGCUGCCUUAGUAGGGUAAUGCAGAUGAUCUGGAAGAAUAUGGGGAACUAGAGUUCAUGCUCUAAGGCCGGCUGACAUUAAAGCAGUCACUUCAAUAGGAAGUUUGCAAAGAGUAAGUACAGGCAGGAAAUGUGCUGAGCGUGACCCAUUUCCUCCGUUGUGAUGAUGAAGUCAGCUGAUGAUGUAGUUUGGGGUCUCA
rnacentral:lncRNA from 1 species